AAGACACCCUUAUUACAUAAAGCUUUGGGACUAUCCAAACACAUUUUGAACUACUGUGGCAUUGUUUGUACGCUGAGUGUAAUGCUAAUGCCUAUGGUUUUAAUUGUACACUGGGAAGAUGCAGAACGGGCAGCUAAGUCUAUACAGUUUACUACAUACCAGUGUCACAUCUGCUUCCACACCGUCCUACAUCCUAGCUCAGCGGCACAGGCCGAGUGCAGCCGCCGGCUGCAGCCCUGACUGAAUGAGGUUCAAUACCUUGUCUGAGGUCCCUGCUCCUCCACUGAAAUGUACGUCUAGCUCCAAAGUGAAAUGUCAACCCCUUCUCAGGAAGCUAAGGCACUAACCAAGUAGUAAGGUCUCCGGCUAAGUACUAAGAACUGGGUGUUGGCCAAGCGUUUGUUGGGUUUUUUUAAUCGAGUCUGAUCGGCAGCUGGGCCUGAUAAGCAGGUGGCACUGCCCUGCGCCGAGCGGUACAUGUGCCACAUCAAGUCCCCUCAGCGAGCAGCCUGGCCAAGCAUCUGGCAGCGGCAGAGGAGUCUGAACUUAUUUGUGACACUCGACCAAGGAACUUCCUCCAGGCCAUCCAAAAAUUGCUCACAGAGCUGAAGCUCCCAAGGCCUGUGUGCAUCAUCACCAGGAAGAAGAGCGCGGCCUAUCCACUCCGCAGCCGCUGCCAGAGCCGAGCGUCACGGCAUCCCUCCGCUCACGGGGAGCUGCUGGGCUCUGCUUCACGUGGAUCAGAGCUCACAGGAGCAAGGGAGGCCGUUGCUCUUCAUCCCAAAUUGCCUGAAAAGACUCAGAGGAAAGCCAAGUUGUCCCUAUGUGCAUUGUGGUUGCUGAUUUUUAACCAGAAAUACAUUCUGUGGCGUUCACCUUGUGCUCUGUUCACCUGUGUUUUUCUUUCCUUUAUAAAGGUGAUGAGAAAAAGAAGAAAAAAAAAAAGCAAUAUUGAACGAAUCAUUCAACUAAAGAUAACAGAUCAGAUGUCACCAUUUGGGAAGAGGGUUUUUUUGGAAAGGGACCGGAGAAACUUUUUUCCCGAAUCUUCAGGAACCUUUGUGAUACACGUUUGAACUGGAUCCUUUGCAAAUGCUGUAAUAUAUAAAAGGCAUAGAAACUGCGUAUGAGGUAGAACUGAGCGGAUAUUUCAAUGAUAGCUGGUGCGAAGGGUGGACAGACUCCAUAUCUAUUGGACAAGGCAUUCCCAAUGGUAACGACGUGGCAACCAUUUGGUGUGCAGAUGCAGAACUCUGCAUGGACUGAAUCUGAGUGUUGUAGAGAUUUAAUUGCAAAGUGUUUGUAAAUGGCUUUGAUGUCAGUUCACUGGAAGGUAACGACAUCACUGGAAGCAGCUCAUCCUUGAUAGGCACAGAAACGUUGCAGGUAAAGGGAUCUAGAAGGUCCAUUGGCUCUGUUUUGACCUUCAAAAGUUCUUGGUUGUGACUUUUCUUCAUGUGGCGCGUUAGGUGAUCCUUACGCCCAAAUCUCUGUGCACAGUACUGACAGAGGAAGUCCUUUCUUCCAGUGUGCACUACCAUGUGUCUACGGACAUCCUUUCGGGUGUAGAACCGACGAUCACAGUGUUCACACUGGUGUUUUUUCUCCUUCACUCCACCCGAUGACUUGCCUGCAUGAGUUUUUAGGUGCUCCAGCAGCACUCCUGUGCUUUCAAAAGUCUGCAAACAUACCUUACAGGUGAGGUCACCGCUUGUUGCAGCGUGCAAAGCCAGGUGACGUUUGAACCCAAGCUUGGUAUUGUAGUUCUUUCCACAUUCUUCACACUUAAAGGCCUCUUUGUUGGGAUUGUGUGUAUGUAGGUGAUUCUUUAGGUGAUCUUUUCGGUGAAACAUUUUCUCACAAUAAUUACACUUGUGGGUUUUCUCAGGAGAAUGAGUAGCCAUAUGCCUUUAAACACAGAUAUAUUCUGUAAGUAAUUAUUUUGAUCAAAAAACACACGUGCUCAUUUUUUUUAAUGGCAGCUAAAUACUACACUAAGGUUGCUUUUCAACAGAACCUUUUAACUGAAAGCAUGACACUACAAAGACAGUUUGACAAAUUAAAAUAUAGCAAAACACGAGCCAUUUCUCUUAAAUCGACACUUUAGUUUUGGUGGGUUUUAGCUACUGUAACAGGGGUAUAUGGGCAAGUAUGAAAGUACUUGUGUAAAAGUCCAUAGCCAAAAAUUUUCAGUCCAUACUCUUUUCUUGUGACAAUUCCUUAUACAAAUGAAAAUUCUAUUCUCAUUAAGAAAACAAACAAACAGAAAACAAAAACAGAAAACAAAUUAAGAAACAAAAUCAAAGACAAUAGCUUGCAAACUUAUGUAAUUUAGAUUUCUAGAAACAAUCCAAUGGCUACUUUUAAUUAACACAUCCUCUCUGCAAUCAGCUGAAGGCGUACACAAAUAUAUACUUUUACACGGCUUAACACGGCCAACAUAAAAUAGAUAAUAUAAUCUGAAAGAUAAAUAGAGUUUAAUACCUUAGUAAUUUGUACUUAGAAACAAAGGCCUUGGUGCAGUCUUGUUGUGUGCACUUGUAGGGCCUCUCUCCUGUGUGAGAGUAUGAGUGAACCUUUAAUUUCUCAACACUGUUAAAGGCCUUGUCACACAGUUGGCAAGGAAAGUUUUUUCUUGGUUUGGUUUCACCACGCUUACGUUUCCCUGAAGGGACUUUCUGGGUAUCUCUUACUUCUGACAAAUCACCAGGAAUGACAGUGGCCAUCGCAGCCUAAACCAGGCCUUCUUGUUGGACACUUGGGAAUUGCCCAACUCCACUAAAUGAUUUAGCUUUAGAUGGCUUCUCAAGUUUCAUGUGGUCGUAAAAGAAAGCAAAAGGGGACUGAUGUUUGCCCACUAAAGUCCUCAGAUUUUGGUCUUAACCAGUUCCGCUGACUCUUCUUGGAGGAAACCAGAAUCCAGUACUUCCCAUUUUUACUGGUCGCGGGAGCCUCAGCAUCCCCUCUGCGCCCCGUUUCCACCCUUUACAGUGUUCUCCGAUUUUUCUGUAAUUUUUUCCCCAUAUUUCGGGCUGGACGCGGCGGGCCUGGAAAUUGUUUGCUUUCCCGUCCUUCCAGCAGCCAUUGUAGUGUAUGCGCUGCGGUGCAGCCCAGCCUGCCGCACACGCCGCGCCCACACCGCCCGCCG
rnacentral:lncRNA from 1 species